UACGAAGGGGGCUAGCGUUGUUCGGAAUCACUGGGCGUAAAGCGCGCGUAGGCGGUCAUACAAGUCAGAGGUGAAAUCCCAGGGCUCAACCUUGGAAUUGCCUUUGAAACUGUAUGACUGGAGUCUUGGAGGGGGUAGUGGAAUUCCUAGUGUAGAGGUGAAAUUCGUAGAUACUAGGAGGAACACCGGUGGCGAAGGCGGCUACCUGGACAAGUACUGACGCUGAGGCGCGAAAGCGUGGGGAGCAAACAGG
rnacentral:rRNA from 1 species